UAAUACGGAGGGUGCAAGCGUUAUCCGGAUUUACUGGGUUUAAAGGGUGCGUAGGCGUUCUGAAAAGUUUCUAGCGAAAUCUGUCAGCUUAACUGGCAAACUGUUGGAAAAACUUUCAGAAUUGAAUAUGGUAGAAGUGGGCGGAAUAAAUCAUGUAGCGGUGAAAUGCUUAGAUAUGAUUUAGAACACCGAUUGCGAAGGCAGCUCGCUAUGUCAUAAUUGACGCUGAGGCACGAAAGCGUGGGGAUCAAACAGG
rnacentral:rRNA from 1 species